CCCUAUAUUGAGCUUAUGUCCGUCGAUGUCCCUAAAUUGAGCUUAUGUCCCUCGAUGUCCCUAAAUUGAUUCCAAACCCGCUGAUAACAGUGUAACAGGAAGGAAACAGAUGAGCAAAGCCGCUAAGGAUCCUACCAUGCCUAAGAAGCUACCAAGGACAUAAUCCCAUCUUGAAUUUUGGUGAGGUCCACAACUUUGGAUACAUGGUUGCCAGAACAAGUUUCUUUCAUGCAAUGACAUUACGUAAUUUCGAUUUGAUCGAUUAGCUCUUUCUUUACUCAUGGAAGAUAUCGGUGCUGCCAAAUAGCGGCUAUAACACUAUAGCGUAGCAGAAUGUUAACAACUAUUGCUCCACGAUUCAGUACAAAUUGUUUUAAAGUAACUGCUUUCGCUGCACUAUAAGCCUAUAACACUAGCAUAGUGAAAUUUUAACAAACCGCUAUUUUUUGCAAUUGACAGUGCUAGAAGAUAUUAUAAUUCUUACAAAUGUUGUUUGGCUAAAUUGCAGUUGCGGUUGUGACUUGUGGUUAUACUGUGACCCUUAAUACUUUGGCUUAAUAUAGUCGUAAUUGAAAUGCUGUUGUGAAUA